GGUGGUGGAGCUGCACACCAAGGCGCUAGCGCGGCUGGCGAUCGAGAAGGAGCAGACGGACGCGGCCGUGCGCGCCGUCAGCGCCGAGCGUGACGAGGCCCGUCAGGAGGUGGCCAACGUCGAGUCAAUGUUCGCCGACUUGCACCGCAAGUACGAGAAGAGCAAGAGUCUGAUGCAGGAGAACAGGCAGCGGAGCGAGACCAUCUCGAAGUCGUGGCAGUCGGCGCUGGACGAGGUGUCGCGAGAGAGGCAGCGCCACGACAUGCUGCAGAAGUACGCCGAGGACACGCUGCAGAGGUUGCGCGAGGACAUGGAGCUGGCGGAGAAGAGUCACGAGACG